rnacentral:rRNA from 1 species
UACGGAGGGUGCAAGCGUUGUUCGGAAUUAUUGGGCGUAAAGCGCAUGUAGGCGGUCUGUUAAGUCUGGUGUGAAAGCCCCGGGCUCAACCCGGGAAGUGCAUUGGAUACUGGCGGACUUGAGUAUGGGAGAGGAAAGUGGAAUUCCGAGUGUAGGAGUGAAAUCCGUAGAUAUUCGGAGGAACACCAGUGGCGAAGGCGGCUUUCUGGACCAAUACUGACGCUGAGAUGCGAAAGCGUGGGGAGCAAACAGG